rnacentral:rRNA from 1 species
UUGGUAGAUCGUAGGGAUUGUCGCUGGCCUUUGGAAACGAAGGCAUGUGCACGUUCCGAGUUCUCCUUAGUCCUCCUUUGCCUUUCCUUUGGAAAACCCUUUCUUCACACCCGUGCACCCAUUGUAGGUCUCCGCGAGGGGAUCUAUGUCUUCACAUAAACACUACGUAUGUCUAGGAAUGUAUCUAAAAGCGUCGGACGGCUUGGCUUCGUGCCCGGUCGGCGACGGUAAAGAACCAUAAUACAACUUUCAGCAACGGAUCUCUUGGCUCUCGCAUCGAUGAAGAACGCAGCGAAUUGCGAUAAGUAAUGUGAAUUGCAGAUUUUCAGUGAAUCAUCGAAUCUUUGAACGCACCUUGCGCUCCUUGGUAUUCCGAGGAGCAUGCCUGUUUGAGUGUCAUUUAAUUCUCAACCAUCCCUCGAUUCGUUUCGAGGGUUUGGCUUGGAUUUUGGGGGCUGCCGGGCGACCCUAGGGUCUUCGGCUCUCCUUAAAAGCAUUAGCGAUGGCGGCGCGAUCUAACCCCCCCCAUGCAUGAACGGCCUUCGACGUGAUAAUGAUCGUCGUGGCUGGAGUGUUGUUAGUGGGUGUCGUGAAGUCGGCGCUUCUAAA